UACGGAGGGUGCAAGCGUUAAUCGGAAUUACUGGGCGUAAAGCGCACGCAGGCGGUUUGUUAAGUUAGAUGUGAAAGCCCCGGGCUCAACCUGGGAAUUGCAUUUAAAACUGGGCGGCUAGAGUGUUGUAGAGGGGGGUGGAAUUCCAGGUGUAGCGGUGAAAUGCGUAGAGAUCUGGAGGAAUACCGGUGGCGAAGGCGGCCCCCUGGACAAAGACUGACGCUCAGGCGCGAAAGCGUGGGGAGCAAACAGG
rnacentral:rRNA from 1 species